rnacentral:sRNA from 1 species
UGUGUGUAACGAGCUCAUGCCCCUGCAGACCCACACAGAAACACUUCAACACUUGGUUCAGGGAGGCAAGCAGAGACAUGCAGUGUGGGUGGGAAGAGGUCUGAGUAGGUGGGAGGAGUGUCUUCCUUUCUCAUUCAUAUGACGAAAUACCCUGACAGAGACAACUUAAGGGAGAAAGGGGCUUGUUCUGGCUUGUAGUCCCAGAGGACUAUAGUCCAUCAUAGCAUGAUAAGCAUGGCAGUAGGCUGGCUAGUCAGACUGCAGCCAUACUCAGGAAGCAGAGAUAGAUGAAUGACAGAUGACAGGUGCUCAGCUCAUUUUCUCCUUUUCACAAAUAUAAUCUGGGAUCCCAGGCUAGGGAAUGGUGGUGCCCACUGUGGGCAGGUCUUUCCAUCUCAACCUAAUCAAGGUAACCUUAAUAGGCAUGGCUGGAAGCCUGACCUCCAGGUGGCCUUGUGUUGUCAAGUUGACCAUUUAGAUUGACAAGACACUGAUGUAUUUGAUCAGACCUGACACUAUGUCAGGCAGAGAGCAUGAAGGCCAGUGCUGUUACUUAUUGGGUUUGUAGCAUUGGGCAAGUUACUCAACAUCUCUAGACCUGUUUGUUCUUCUGUAAAAUGGGGAGUAUUUAUGGGACAUGAGUAACAUUUUUGUUACAAGUAUCGAGUUAAGUAUUCAUGUGUCCACAGUAACCCUUGUAAAAGUAACUUUUAUUCAAACUGUCUUCUCUUAGCUACUCAUCGAAUUGUUCUGCUUGGAAAAACUGCCUCUGAAUUCCAAUAACUAAACUACACUGACUUUGUAACUGAAUGGAACUCAAUGGAACUUCCCAAACUCAACUGAACUCCAGUCAGAGGGAUUAAAGAUGAAGAUGCCUUUAGGGUCUGAGUCACAGACCAUGGCUGUCCUGCUCAUCAGAGAAUUCGAGGGAAGAGACUUGCUGAUAGCAAUGGGUAAGUGAGAUCCAGGAUUGUAGGCCUAGGAUGACCCGGGCUAAGGGCACGAGCUUGCUAAUUAUGCAAAAUUCAUCCAAAAUCCUGGCAGCUUUACCCGGGUCUAAAUGAUACCUCAUUUUGGUAUCACUUGAAAUGUUAGAUGAGUUAAUAUGUACACAGUUCUCAGUACAGUACUUGUUGAAUAAACAACCCAGAAACCAGAGUGGCUGUUGUGAUUGAGAGAGACUUGGGGGCCAGCUUUUCUUCUUUAGCAUCAUUCAGUAUACUAUCCUUCAACAUGUUAGUCAAACUAUAGCCCACAGAUCAAAUACAGGCCUCUGCAUGUGAGCCAAGAAUGUUUCUUUCAUUUCUAAGUGGUUGCAAGGUGAUCAAAAGAAGGCUAUUUUGUGACUUAUGCAAAUGACAGGAAAUUCAACCUUCGGUGUCCAUAAAUAACAUUCUGUUGGAACCCGGCCACACCCAUCAGCUCUGCCCUGACUAUGGCUCUUGCUGGGUCGUAAGCGCAAGAGGAAAUUGCAGUAGCAGUGAGCAGAUGGCCUGGCCAGCCAAACACCCUACUGGCCUUUACCUCAAGUAUGCAGAGUAGGCUUUAGGGAGUCCUAGGCACAGAGCAAAGAUGAGAUGUUGUUUCUCUUCACAGAUCCAGAGAGGGUUCAGCUCUCUGUCCCUCGGCAUGGGCUUUGCGUGGCUUUUGCUAAUGGGACCAUUUGUCUAAACUGUCUCCUCACCUUCCAUGGGUCAAAGCGGAGUUGUUAAUGCUUAGGAAUCAGCAUCCUGAAAGAAGAAGGCCAGCAUUUCACGUCAGCCGGAUUUUGUGUUUGAAUACAUCCACAAUGGUUGAUCUGAAGUUUACCAAUUUUCAUGCCAACUGCCUUUUUAAAAAAAAAUAAAUCCUUAUUACUUUGAACAUCGGUUCUGGUGAGGUAACCAGACCCACAGCACUUGGCCCCUGCUCCUAGCCUUGCUACUGCUCUGAUGUCUGUGCUCAAUGCACAAGGAAGUAAUGAUUAGUUGGGGGAGGGGGUAUUGAUUUAUUCUUCUGUCAGAGUCUUAGCUCAGAAUGUGUUAUUUCAAAAUAGUCACCGCACGUGAGGGAUUCGACACAGAGGGAAGCUGACACCAGAGGUAGAAACCACUAGGAACGAAGAAGACUGAGCCCUGGAGAAAGAUCUGACACAUGUAGUUUUUUUUUCGUUGUUGUUGUUGUUUUUGUUUUUAAUUUUAAUAGCCUAGUGAGUGUCACAGAGCCUACUGAUUUGUCUGUUUUAUCCAUAAUCUUCUGACUUAGCUAUUCUCUGAGCACGGCUGAAGUGAGGAACAGAGGGUAUCUAAGGCAAUUUUAGGGACCCCAAGAGAGAGGUUUAUCUCCAUAAAGCAAGCCCUUCCGGGGUCCCACAAAGUCUGUAUGAAAGCCCACACAUGCCCUCUGCCUUGUGGUCCUUCAGUCUGCGUGCUAAGUUUUCCUAUUCAUCCAAGCCAGGGGAAAUCUGACCGAUAAUGGGAGAAGCACUCGCUACAAGAGGUUUAAACAAGCUGCCGAGAGCACAGAGCACAGAGCACUGCAAAAGCCCACGUUCAGCUCCGGGCAGGGCCCAGUGUGCGGGGAGUCUGAAGAGACUGGCGGCAUCUCUCUCCAAGUGACGCGUGUGAACAUUAAAGACAACAAUGACCUUCAAAACAGUUUGCAUCCCAUCUUUAACCUUCAAAUUGGCAGUCGGUUGGUCUCACACCCGUGCCCUCCUUUUUGCCCUUCUUUCUGCCUCGCCAAGUCACCAACUUCUCUUUUUUUCCAGGUUUUUUUUUUUUUUUUUUUUUUGUGGUCCGUGACUUGGUGCCGAGCCAGACAUAUCUGUGAAUUUGCAUGUUGUGGGGUCACCCCUAGGCUGGCUUCCAAGGCCCAGCAUGGUAAAGAACUUAUUUGGGGUAGAAAGCACGUUGAUCAGAAAGUGUUAUUUUUACAGUCCUUGUUUUUAUUAUUGUAACCAAAUUCCAGAAACAUACUUGGACUGAGGCUUCAGCCUGACGCACAAAGGCCUUACAGAGUUCUUCAGGCAUAGUAUAAUUUUAGCUCAGGCCAGCGGCCGCCGUUAACAAAGCAAGGAACCUUUCCACUGUGUAUUCUCUUCCCUCUCUGAGCAGAAAACAAACUUUGGGUUGUCCUGGGGUUUGUGGGUCGAUUCUUUUGCCCGGAGAACUGUAAGGCUUUGCUGCAUGAGGGAGCUAAGCUCAUGGCUAAAACAGGCAGCCCUAAACUGACAGCAUCAGGCACCAGUUGUUCCCACAGUCGCUCCCAAAUCAGGCCCAGACAGGGCUGGAAAACACAUUCUUUCUUCUUUACCUCAGUUAAUGUGUGUGUGCGCUAUUCGUGUUGACACUGGGACACAGGGGAGAAAGAACUUGAGGCUUAGAUAGCCGUCCAAGGAUUACCUCACAGUUACUGUGCCCGAUGUGCUUGUUCAUAUAUUAAAGUCUCUAAUAUCAGUACAAUCAUCAAAUUUGAUCAUACUCCAUCAUUUGAUUAGUAGCGAUUUUUUUUUAAUUUCUGUAGUAACACACAAAAUUAACGGGUGUGAGACAACCAAUGGUGCCUCAGAUUUAACACUAGGAUAUCCGAUAUUGGUGCUUGAUCUGUGCCUGCAGUUGGAAAGCCCAAAUAUACCUGUCAUAGUCUAUGAAGUUCCUAAGUUGUGGUGUUCCUAUCUGAAAGUCCACUGGUGUCACCUCUAGUUUUACUGUCCAUGUGUCUAUGCUCUCUGUGUCACACAAUUAACAUUCACUGAGCUCUCCCUGACCCUGGGCCUUAGCCUAAGUACUUUCCCUUCUCUCCUCAUUGUCCUAUAGAGAUGCUGUUAUGACCCUGUUACCCACGUCUGGUGACAUCCAGAGGGUCAGUGAGUCUGCACCAGUCCUCCUGCAUUUUUAACCAUCUGUCUUCCUGAGUCAGAUCCUGUUGCUGAGUUUUGAGCUAAUUUAAAACUCUAUCUCUCACACCCGCCAGGUGACUGACUGUGUGGAAGAAGGCUCCAGGUGACUGACUGUGUGGAAGAAGGCUCCAGGAGACAGCAUCGGACAGGAGAGAUGUGUGGCAAAGUAAGAAACUGGGAUCUUAACUGCUGAUUCAGAUUUUAUUCUCAGGAACAUCUUUCUUCUUCAAGUGAAAGUUUUUCCUUUCAAUCUGUAUGAGCCUUUUUUUUUUUUUUUUUUUCCUGGCUAAGCUGAUUCGGGGCUUCUUAGAGUAUUUUCCAGUGAUCAGUUUGCUUAAGUUUUGAGACAGAGUCUCACACUCUGGUUAAGGCUGACUUGGAGCUCACUAUUCAGGUUAGGCUAGCCUCGAACUCACAAAAGCCCUCCUGCUAGCAUACUCAGUACUUAGAUUACAGUUGUGAGGAGCUGCUGCACCUGACUCCAUUUUAAUCACUAAACAAAUGUGUGGGUUUUAUUUUAUUUUUGAGAUAGGACAUCACAUAGUCCAGGCUAGCCCGGAACCUCUCACCUCUACCUCCCAAGUGCUGGGAUUAUAAAACAAAGAUUUUACCCACUUUGCCUGACUCUGUCUUAUGUAACUCAAACUGGCCUGGAACUCCUGAUAUUCCUCCCCCCACAUUAUUUCAGGUGCUUAGGUUAAAAGGGCCAAGGCACGACCUGGCCCUACAGUCAGCUCUAAUCUCUGAGUCCUCGGUUACUAAGGGAAGCAGUCUAAAGAGCCGUAUUACCCAAGGUUAUAUUAUGCAGGGACCCAUGAUGUACUUAGUCAGACUCAAAUGUUAGUUUUUUUCAAGUAGUCACAGAUUAGGACUGAAGUAUAUAGUAAUGAAAUUAGUUUUCAGACACACUCAGACAGGUUAACAAACAGGCCACUACACUGUUCCUAAUCCGAAAAAGCCUCUUGUGCCCCAGCUGAGGUCCCCUGAGAAUCCUUCAGUUUUACUCUUUGCUGUUUUGUGGUAGAACCCAGUGAGCAGCAGCACAGAGGCUGCAAUGAAGACAGCGGGUGCAUAGCCCCAGUGAGGAGGAGG